rnacentral:tRNA from 1 species
AAGGUUUUAAGUUAAACAAACUAGGGGCCUUCAAAGCCCUCAAUGGAAUUUUAUCCAAACCUUG